AUAACACUUCUAACGGGGUGCUAAUACCGCAUCACAUCCCUUGAUCGCAUGGUCGAGGGAUCAAAGCUGGCCUCUACUUGUAAGCUAGCGCCUGAAGACGAUCCCGCGUCAGAUUAGCUUGUUGGUGAGGUAACGGCUCACCAAGGCAGCGAUCUGUAGCUGGUCUGAGAGGAUGGUCAGCCACACUGGGACUGAGAUACGGCCCAG
rnacentral:rRNA from 1 species